UGAUGAAGAAGAAGAGAUAAUUUCUCUUAUCACUUUCGUCAUACAACACUUUUGGAGGCUUGAAGAUGCCCAAGGCUAAGGAAAAGAGUGAGCAGCAUCUCUGCUUUUGUGAUAAGGUCUUUACCACCAAAGAGGCAGCUGAAUCCUGUGAAAGGAACCAUACCCACGUUGAUAGAGGUGCCCUUGAGCUGUCUGAGGAUCCAGACUGGGAAAUUGACACCCCAUCACACAGUGCCAG